AGUGGAUGGGGAGCAACCUAGUUGUGCGUGUGUAAAGGUAGUGCCAAGAAAAGCGAUGAUCAUGUUGAAAAUCAAUUCCCGGUACCCGAAACCGACACAGGUGGGCAAGUAGAGAAUACUAAGGGGCGCGAGGUAACUCUCUCCAAGGAACUCGGCAAAAUGACCCCGUAACUUAGGGAGAAGGGGUGCCACCGAGAGGUGGUCGCAGUGAAGAGGCCCAGGCGACUGUUUAGCAAAAACAUAGGUCUCUGCAAACUCGAAAGAGGAGGUAUAGGGGCUGACGCCUGCCCAGUGCCGGAAGGUUAAAGAAGUUGGUCAGUUUUAGGAUGAAGCUAGCGACUGAAGCCCCGGUGAACGGCGGCCGUAACUAUAACGGUCCUAAGGUAGCGAAAUUCCUUGUCGGGUAAGUUCCGACCCGCACGAAAGGCGUAACGAUCUGGGCGCUGUCUCGGAGAGAGGCUCGGCGAAAUAGGAUUGUCUGUGAAGAUACGGACUACCUGCAUUUGGACAGAAAGACCCUAUGAAGCUUUACUAUAGCUUGGAAUUGUGUUCGGGCUUCCUGUGCGCAGGAUAGGUGGGAGGCGUAGAAGGUAUUCUUGUGGGGAUACUGGAGCCAACGGUGAGAUACCACUCUCAGGAGGCUAGAAUUCUAACUUAAUUAAGGACAGUUUCAGGUGGGUAGUUUGACUGGGGCGGUCGCCUCCAAAAAGGUAACGGAGGCGUACAAAGGUUCCCUCAGACUGGUUGGAAAUCAGUCGAAGAGUGCAAAGGCAGAAGGGAGCUUGACUGCGAGAAGUACAGUUCGAGCAGGGUGGAAACACGGUCUUAGUGAUCCGACGGUGCUGUGUGAAGGGCCGUCGCUCAACGGAUAAAAGUUACUCUAGGAUAACAGGCUGAUCUCCCCCAAGAGUUCACAUCGACGGGGAGGUUUGGCACCUCGAUGUCGGCUCAUCGCAACCUGGGGCGGAAGUACGUCCCAAGGGUUGGGCUGUUCGCCCAUUAAAGCGGUACGUGAGCUGGGUUCAGAACGUCGUGAGACAGUUCGGUCCAUAUCCGAUGUAGGCGUGAGAAUAUUGAGAGGAGCCUUCCUUAGUACGAGAGGACCGGGAAGGACGCACCGCUGGUGUACCUGUUAUGAUGCCAAUUGUAAACGCAGGGUAGCCAAGUGCGGAGAGGAUAACCGCUGAAAGCAUCUAAGUGGGAAGCCCACCUCAAGAUGAGUAUUCUGGUGUAAGGUCACGGGAAGACGACCCGUAAAUAGGCACGAGGUGGAAGUGCAGAGAUGUAUGAAGCCGAAGUGUACUAAUAGACCGUCGGCUUGAU
rnacentral:rRNA from 1 species